rnacentral:rRNA from 1 species
AUGGGAACGCGAAGAACCUUACCUAGACUUGACAUCUCCUGAAUAGUGUAGAGAUACAUGAAGCCCUUCGGGGCAGGAAGACAGGUGGUGCAUGGUUGUCGUCAGCUCGUGUUGUGAAAUGUUGGGUUAAGUCCCGCAACGAGCGCAACCCUUAUCCUUUGUUGCCAGCGGUUCGGCCGGGAACUCAAAGGAGACUGCCAGUGAUAAACUGGAGGAAGGUGGGGAUGACGUCAAGUCAUCAUGGCCCUUACGAGUAGGGCUACACACGUGCUACAAUGGCGCAUACAAAGAGAAGCGACCUCGCGAGAGCAAGCGGACCUCAUAAAGUGCGUCGUAGUCCGGAUUGGAGUCUGCAACUCGACUCCAUGAAGUCGGAAUCGCUAGUAAUCGUAGAUCAGAAUGCUACGGUGAAUACGUUCCCGGGUCUUGUACACACCG